ACACCACCUGUCGAUACGGAUUCACUCGCGCUAUUGAUCGCGAUCGAAUGGAAAGGGGGCCGUAGCUGCGCGCGGUCGCUGAACGUACUGCGACGAUCGCGGAUCACGCGUUCGCCACGUUAACGGCGAUCGUUAGCGGGUGAGUCUCGUGACGAAAACGAGGACGGGGACGGGGCGAUCGGCGGACGACGAACGCUAAUGCGUUGCGACGAUUGACGUCUUUGACACCUUGGCCCGCUUUUACCGGGCCGUUCCUUCUUCGUGAGCGCGUUCUCCCCAGGUCGCAGCUUUGUUUUCCUCGUUAGCGUUUAGCGGCGCGCGUCACUCUCAGGAUCAACCCGUUUGUCCACACCAAUGUUUUUAUCACGCGUCGCUCAAAUCGAUCCGAGAUCGGUUCUCACGCGCCCGGUUGUUCGCGUGGAAACGCGACGACCGAUCUCGAUCGCGCACGACGCAAUUGACGCGACCGCCGGUGCAUCCCGCUUGCGUUUUGCGCUUCAGCGUAAUGAUUUAAGCUCUUACGUUGAGGGAGCCCCCCUUCGAUCGGUCGGCGAGGCGAGGAGAGUGCCUCGAUCGGUCUAAGUAGUCGCGGUGGCGCGAGCGCGAUGGCACGGUUGACCAGCGACUAAAAGCGGCAAAUGUGCGCGGCGAGCGGUGGUGUUUGUGCGGAUGGUAGUGGGGCUCGCAAAAAGUGCUCGAAUCGCGAAGCAACGAGCACUGGCAGUCACGGCGGCCCGUAACGAUAAUUGUCGCGCGAUGCAUACAGGAUGGGCACAGCUGGGUCAGCUGGCCACCUCAUUGACGAACCGGCAACGGUUCGCUGCGCUUCUCUAGCUCUGCCGCAGCUCUCGCGCCCGUUCCGCGUUCCAUCGUUCGCGCGCUGCCGCCGGAUCCGGCGGAGAUCGACAGCUCAGAUCGAGAACUUCCGCCGCCGCACAACCCACUCCCGAAUCCCGGCGGAGGCACGGGACGGCGUCGCGAUCGAAAGCACGAGGGAUAAACCCGUCCGGGGGAGUUUCGGGCUCUCGAGAUGGGGGAAAUAUACCGAAGGUAGGAGGAGCCCGCGCGUAGACGGAGAAGGAAAUGAAAUAUGCUGAAGAGAUGGUUGGCCGUGGAAUAACGCGUGCGGAAAACAGGAAGAAUUUAUAACGGCACCCCGCGCUUGUAUUUAUCGACGAACUUCCGUCGUUAACAAGACAUCACAAUCAAGUUUAAUGAAGAAAAAGGAAUGAACAGAGACGGAGGAUCAUAAAAUCGUUUAAGAGCGAAAAUUUGCAGCUCAGCCACUAAACUUCGAAAUAAAAAAAGAAGAAGAAAAGAGAAAAAAGAUAUAAAUCCCGAAGCCAACGAAUCCAUACGAAUAAGAUCCAGGGAAGCUUUUACGCUCUACUUUUCACAGAGGAAUAUUACUUCUUAUACCGUUGUAACAUAAUACACGAUAGAAACGUUUUGUGCAAAGUAUAAAAUUUUUAUUUUAUAUUUUUAUAUUAUUUUUAUAUAUUAUAUACAUUUUCCUGCGUCAAUAAAAAAUUUGUGCGAAAAAUGGAGAUGGAAUAACAUGUAUAUCCAGCGUGCUGACUUGUUUUGUCGAAAGCAUAUCUUUUCGUUGUAUAAGUGGGCAAAAUAAAUUCACCUUCCUCCAA
rnacentral:lncRNA from 13 species